AACGAACGCUGGCGGCGUGGAUUAGGCAUGCAAGUCGAACGAGAGAAGUUCCUUCGGGAACUGAGUAGAGUGGCAAACGGGUGAGUAACGCGUGGGAAACCUGCCCUUUGGUUGGGGAUAACACUCCUAACGGAGUGCUAAUACCGGAAAGAUCAUUUCAUCGCAUGAUGAAUUGAUGAAAGGCGGCCUCUAUUUAUAAGCUGUCGCCGAAGGAUGGUCCCGCGUCCCAUUAGCUUGUUGGUGAGGUAACGGCUCACCAAGGCAUCGAUGGGUAGCCGGUCUUAGCGGGUGAUCGGCCACACUGGGACUGAGAUACGGCCCAGACUCCUACGGGAGGCAGCAGUCGAGAGGCUUCCACAAUGGGGGAAACCCUGAUGGAGCGACGCCGCGUGGGUGAUGAAGGUCUUCGGAUCGUAAAGCCCUUUCAGCAGGGACGAUAGUUUCAUUUGUUAAUACCUUAUGAAUCUGGACGGUACCUGCAUAAGAAGCUCCGGCUAACUCCGUGCCAGCAGCCGCGGUAAGACGGGGGGAGCAAGCGUUGUUCGGAUUUACUGGGCGUAAAGGGCGUCUAGGCGGGCUUGUAAGUCAGGUGUGAAAUCCCCCGGCUCAACCGGGGAACUGCACUUGAUACUGCUGGUCUUGAGUUCGGAGGAGGGAAGCGGAAUUCCUGGUGUAGCGGUGAAAUGCGUAGAUAUCAGGAAGAACACCGGUGGCGAAGGCGGCUUCCUGGUCCGAUACUGACGCUAAAGCGCGAAAGUGUGGGGAGCAAACAGGAUUAGAUACCCUGGUAGUCCACACUGUAAACGAUGGAUGCUAGGUGUCGGGGGUAUCGACCCCUCCGGUGCCGAAGUUAACGCAUUAAGCAUCCCGCCUGGGGAGACGGUCGCAAGGCU
rnacentral:rRNA from 1 species